CAGGAAGCAGCUUGCUGCUUCGCUGACGAGUGGCGGACGGGUGAGUAAUGUCUGGGAAACUGCCUGAUGGAGGGGGAUAACUACUGGAAACGGUAGCUAAUACCGCAUAACGUCGCAAGACCAAAGAGGGGGACCUUAGGGCCUCUUGCCAUCGGAUGUGCCCAGAUGGGAUUAGCUAGUAGGUGGGGUAACGGCUCACCUAGGCGACGAUCCCUAGCUGGUCUGAGAGGAUGACCAGCCACACUGGAACUGAGACACGGGCCAGACUCCUACGGGAGGCAGCAGUGGGGAAUUUUGCACAAUGCCCGAAAGGGUGAUGCAGCAACGCCGCGUGAGGGAUGAAGGCCUUCGGG
rnacentral:rRNA from 1 species